UUUCUUACACACCUAUUAGAAAAAAUCCUGCUCUUCGUUUUCCAACUCAACGUUGUCUUGAUGUUCUAAAUCGAAUACAUUAAAGGGUCUUUCAUCCUCGAGCGCCGUGUUGUCUUUUUGGAUGAGCAUUCUAAUAGGUCCAAAACCUCUAAUGGAUGACUCAUUCUUUUUUGUCGCUGAAUUCGUCUAUCCAAAUUCACCGAAGAAAUAAUCGGAUCAGAAGUAUCUGUAGCUCGAAUAACUGUUAAAUACUCAUAUAUCAUAUAUCAUCACAAAUGGACUCAGUUUAGCUACAAUUUUUUUUUAAUUUUUACUGAAAGUGAUUAUUUUGCACUCAAAGUGAGAAUGUUUGUUCAUGCUGAAUUUUUGAGUACAAACAUUCUCAAUAUGAGUGCAAAUUACAUGAAUAUUUCUCUCUGUCCAUCUUGAACCAUUACCCAUGUAUUUGGAAUUUGACGUCAACGCUGAAAUUUCUUAAUUUUUUAAAACUUUUCUGAUGGAAAUUGGCCCCUUAAAAAUAAAUCUUAAAUGGAAAUAGUUUUUGUUGUUCUUGGAAUCUACUUUCCACUAUAUGCUUUAAUUUGGGCUUAACGCGAUUUUAUAAAGAUAUUUUAUUGGAUUUGUUAUAUCAAUAAAACUGUUUUUUGGUUUAAUCAACUGCUCCUAUCUGUUACCAAAUAAAUACUAAAUAAAAAUUAAUUUAAUUUAUAAUUUAUUUUUACAGGCGGAUUUUCAUCAGAGAAAUUGUGAACAUUUUGGGAGUUUAACUUACGUCAAAUUCCAAAGGCAUGGACCAUGGUUUAAGAUGGGGACUAUUUUUUAGCGAUGCCAUCAUGUAUUGAGAGUGUGUUUCAGCGAAAGUAUUUAAGAUAUGUCCAAUGGGCAAUAUAAUUUGUCAGCAAACAUCAGACUUUUGUAUUCUAAGCGGAAACUGUAGGUGAUGUAAAAAAAGUAUGUAUGGGACUUUUACUCAGUAGCACUUAAAUAUCUUGGAAAACUAGAAAUGGUUCGUGGAAAUUUCAAUUCGAGGCUUAAUUUUGUGGUCUGUGUAAUUUCAACUUCAGAACGCUUUAUUUGACUUUUAUCUGUACAGGAGACAUAGUAUUUGGCACUCUGCUAAAAUAAACUUACGCUGCGCAAGAAGCUUAAGAAUAUACAUGCCAAAAGCCAACUUUCAAGCUUUUAUAGUUUCAGAUAUUUCAGCGUUCAUACGGACAGAUAUUAAAUAAAUAGAGACGUACACUGAAAUAUCCAGAUAUCGUUAAUUCGGAAACUCAAUGGUCGUUGACAAGUACAAGGUUUCUGAAGCUAGCACGAGAUAGAGUAAAGGAAAAUUACAGCCUCAAAGUGCUAAACGAAUUGAAAAAGGAUUUAAUUGACGACGAUCUACUUAAUAUUGGAACUCGUACAAUUUUACAUGCCACCCUAAAAGCAAAAGCUCGUAAAGUGGUUACAAAGGCGAAAAAUAAGAAACUAACAAUUCAAGACGCCCGACAAAGCUUUUAUUUUCACCUUGCAUCAUCCGCCGAGAUGUAGACUAGAGCUGGGAAACUAUAGAUGGCACUAUCCACGUAUCGAAUGUUUAACUUUCUCGGCCACCAUCGAUAGUUUAUAGUCGCUAUCGAUGGUGCUGGAUUAGCGUUAAUUGGACGUUGGUUAUGGCUCUAAGCAUUGAUAAAUAUAUAGUGAAUUUGAAAAGAAAA